rnacentral:rRNA from 1 species
UACGAAGGGGGCUAGCGUUGUUCGGAAUUACUGGGCGUAAAGCGCACGUAGGCGGAUCUGUAAGUUGGGGGUGAAAUCCCGGGGCUCAACCCCGGAACUGCCUUCAAAACUGCUGAUCUGGAGGAUAGGAGAGGCGAGUGGAAUACCGAGUGUAGAGGUGAAAUUCGUAGAUAUUCGGUGGAACACCAGUGGCGAAGGCGACUCGCUGGACUAUUACUGACGCUGAGGUGCGAAAGCGUGGGGAGCAAACAGG